AUUGAACGCUGGCGGCAGGCCUAACACAUGCAAGUCGAGCGGUAGAGAGGUGCUUGCAUCUCUUGAGAGCGGCGGACGGGUGAGUAAUGCCUAGGAAUCUGCCUAGUGGUGGGGGAUAACGUUCGGAAACGGACGCUAAUACCGCAUACGUCCUACGGGAGAAAGCGGGGGAUCUUCGGACCUCGCGCCAUUAGAUGAGCCUAGGUCGGAUUAGCUAGUUGGUGAGGUAAUGGCUCACCAAGGCGACGAUCCGUAACUGGUCUGAGAGGAUGAUCAGUCACACUGGAACUGAGACACGGUCCAGACUCCUACGGGAGGCAGCAGUGGGGAAUAUUGGACAAUGGGCGAAAGCCUGAUCCAGCCAUGCCGCGUGUGUGAAGAAGGUCUUCGG
rnacentral:rRNA from 1 species